rnacentral:misc_RNA from 1 species
AAUUAAGAGCACUAAAGUAAUUUAAAGUGCCCACACAGUUUGUUUUUGAGAUAAUGAAGAAUCCCAGCCGUGACUGAGAGGAAGCGGAAAAGAUAUUCGAUCGCGAUAUUGUUGUUGAUGUAAGCAAGAUGUUGUAGUGCAUUUAAAUUAAUGCAUAACUAGUUGGCAAAUCAAGAAAGCAAAGUGCAUCGAAGCAUUUUUGCGAGAUAAUUUUUCUUUAGUUCAAGUAAGUGUUUGUAAAAUUGCACUGUCUUGCGUUGGAGAAAAUAUCAAAGUAAAAAUGGGUCUGUAGAUCAGUUGGUUAGAUCGCACCCCUGAUAAGGGUGAGGUCGGUGGUUCAAGUCCACCCAGACCCACCAUUCCAUGGAGUUCUUCAUCGGUUUAUUCAGAUUAAAGUAUUUUCACGAGAGUAUUUUAAUCUGGAAUAACCAGACGUUCAUUAAAAAAAUGGUAAAUAAAGAGGUAACACAAGCGUACUUGUAUUGAAACAGUGCCGUAUGAUUUGAGGUAAUUGAGAUUAUAU